rnacentral:misc_RNA from 1 species
GUGAAUCAUCGAAUCUUUGAACGCAAAUUGCACUCUCUUCGGAGAGUAUGCCUGUUUGAGGGUCAGCCUAAAAAAAAUCGACAUGGUCGCUGUUUCGCGGUGCCAUUGGUCGGAAAUCGGGUCACUUUAAUCCUUUUGGUUUUAGGCGGUUUAAAUUUUUUUUUACGAUUCAAAGAACGUUUCUAAGAUUUACUUAAUGGUUUAAGGUAUGGUUCUUUCUUAGAGGUGGCCGUUGCAUAGGUAGG